CCUACGGGUGGCAGCAGUGAGGAAUAUUGGUCAAUGGACGAGAGUCUGAACCAGCCACGUAGCGUGAAGGAUGACUGCCCUAUGAGUUGUAAACUUCUUUUAUAUGGGAAUAAAAUGUUCCACGUGUGGGAUUUUGUAUGUACCAUAUGAAUAAGGCUCGGCUAACUCCGUGCCAGCAGCCGCGGUAAUACGGAGGAUCCGAGCGUUAUCCGGAUUUAUUGGGGUUAAAGGGAGCGUAGGUGGAUUUUUAAGUCAGUUGUGAAAGUUUGCGGCUCAACCGUAAAAUUGCAGUUGAAACUGGCAGUCUUGAGUACAGUAGAGGUGGGUGGAAUUCGUGGUGUAGCGGUGAAAUGCUUAGAUAUCACGAAGAACUCUGAUUGCGAAGGCAGUUCACUGGACUGCAACUGACACUGAGGCUCGAAAGUGUGGGUAUCAAACAGGAUUAGAUACCCUUGUAGUC
rnacentral:rRNA from 1 species